AUCUGGAUUCUGGAGUCAUAAAAGUUUAAAAAAAGAGUUGGAAUUUUCAAUUUUCCCAGCAUGAGUUGCUACCUCAAAUGCCCCUUACAAACCAAAUAUAAACUUGGAAGCUUCUUCUGAGAUAUUGGCCAUAUGACAGAAGGGUAAGGAGAGCUUUCUUUGCGAAGACGGUAGAGAUAGAUAGGAGGGUGGUGGAUUUGAGACAUAAAGAGUACUGUGUGUGUUUGAGGAAUCCAAUAAACAGUAGUGUUUUGUUUACUGCUGUUGUCUUUGUCUCCUUCCUGGAGUGGUG
rnacentral:lncRNA from 1 species